rnacentral:lncRNA from 1 species
GUGAGUCUACACCCCUCUGGGCUACCACCCCUCACCUCAUGCUGUCUCCUGAAAAGGACUCUUCCCCUGGACUGAAACAGGCUUGGCACAUCACCUACAGGUAUCUGGGCAACCAGAUGAAUAAAUGAGGCUCCAGAGAUGAAGUAACAUACUCAAGGCAAGACUUUGUAAAGAAGCCCCUAAAAUGAUAGCAAACUCUGCAGGGGCUCAGGCCUUGAAGACACCAGGUGCAGGGAGAUGAGUACUUUGAAGAAGAAAGAAGCCAAGCCCAAGUACAGUUAGCCAUAGAACUGAGCUCCAUGCCUAUGCACUCUGCCUCUAGACUGAUGUAGGGCAAGUGAGCCCCCAAAUUGGGACUUAGACCGGAAGAGUUCUUGGCUUCACCCAGGAAAUAAU